rnacentral:rRNA from 1 species
AGAGUUUGAUCCCAGCUCAGGAUGAACGCUAGCGGUGCGCUUAACACAUGCAAGUCGUGCGAUCGAACCAGACGGAUUUUCCUUCGGGAACUGAAGAUUGGUCACGGAGCGGCGAACUGGUGAGUAACACGUAGCUAACCUGCCCUCUUGACGGGGACAACCUACCGAAAGGGAGGCUAAUACCCGAUAUUGUGCGGAGUUGAUGACUUCGUACCAAAGACGGUCCUGCCGUCACAAGAGGAGGGGGCUGCGUCCUAUUAGCUUGUUGGUAGGGUAAUGGCCUACCAAGGCGAUAAUGGGUAGCUGGUCUGAGAGGAUGCUCAGCCACAUUGGGACUGAGAUACGGCCCAGACUCCUACGGGAGGCAGCAGUGGGGAAUAUUGGACAAUGGACGAAAGUCCGAUCCAGCGACACCGCGUGGGGGAUGAAGGCUUUCGGGUCGUAAACUCCUUUUCUGGGGGAAGAAUAAGGUCAGGAGGAAAUGCCUGUCCGAUGACGGUACUCCAGGAAUAAGCAUCGGCAAACUUCGUGCCAGCAGCCGCGGUAAGACGAGGGAUGCAAGCGUUAUCCGGAAUUACUGGGCGUAAAGGACGUCUAGGCGGUUGGAUAAGUCAUUUGUGAAAUCCCAGGGCUUAACCCUGGAAGGUCUUGUGAUACUGUCCAGCUUGGGUGUAGGAGAGGAGAGCGGAACUCACAGAGUAGCGGUGGAAUGCGUAGAUACUGUGAGGUACCCCGAUGGCGAAGGCAGCUCUCUGGCCUAUUACCGACGCUGAAGCGUGAAAGCGUGGGGGGCAAAGGGGAUUAGAUACCCCCGUAGUCCACGCCCCAAACGAUGUUCACUUGGUGUCGGGAGCCUAUAUAUCUCGGUGCCGGAGCUAACGCGUUAAGUGAACCGCCUGAGGAGUACGGCCGCAAGGCUAAAACUCAAGAGAAUUGACGGGUCCCCGCACAAGCGGUGGAGCACGUGGUUUAAUUCGAUAUAAGCGAAGAACCUCACCUGGGCUUGACAUACUAGUGGUAAGAACCGGAAACGGUGAUGACCCUACCUUCGGGUAGGGAGCUAAUACAGGUGAUGCAUGGCUGUCGUCAGCUCGUGUCGUGGGAUGUAGGGUUAAGUCCCGAAACGAGCGCAACCCUUGUCACUAGUUGCCAGCGGAUAAUGCCGGGACUCUAGUGAGACUGCUGGUGAAUAGCCGGAGGAAGGCGGGGAUGACGUCAAGUCAUCAUGUCCCUUAUGCCCA